GCUGAUAGCACCGGUUCUCAUCUGAUCACCGAAGUUAAGUACCACUGAGGGCGGUCAGUAUUUGGGAAGGUGACCAUUUGCGAUCGCUGG